rnacentral:lncRNA from 1 species
AGUGUAUCAGCUUGAGAGUGCAAGAGGGGAGAUGGAGCAAGAUGGAAGAAUAGAAGAAGACUCUACUGCUUGUCCCCCUGACAAGGACACCAAUGGCACAAAAAAGCACCUUUGUGAGAAACAAAAAUCAGUUUAACAUCUGGAAGGGAUGAAGAGAAGUCAGCUUUGUGGCGAUCAACAAUGUCCACACUACUGGCAACCAAUGCUCAGCUCAACUGAUUAUAUUAAAAAACUCACUGAGCUGAUACCCUGUGAUUAUCACUCUAGGACAUGGAUACAUAUGGAUAUAUACAUUAUCAACAACAUAUUACAUUGUUGAAAAUGAAAGGACACUAGAUAGCAACCCAAAGC